UACGGAGGAUCCAAGCGUUAUCCGGAUUUAUUGGGUUUAAAGGGUGCGUAGGUGGGAGAAUAAGUCAGAGGUGAAAGCUAGCAGCUUAACUGUUAAAUUGCCUUUGAUACUGUUUUUCUUGAGUCUAGUUGGCGUUGGCGGAAUGUGACAUGUAGCGGUGAAAUGCUUAGAUAUGACACAGAACACCGAUUGCGAAGGCAGCUCACAAAACUGUAACUGACGCUGAGGCACGAAAGCGUGGGUAGCAAACAGG
rnacentral:rRNA from 1 species